CAGUGUAUCCAGCACUAAAUGACUUUCAAUAUGAAAUUCCUUUCACUGUAUAGCAUGCCCCUGUUCAGCCACCAUCAACUUACUCAGUAUUUUUUAUUUUAAAGCAAUUAUGUCCUUAACAAGUGGAGUUUUUAUGACAGAAAUUAAUUCUAGGUACAUUGAAAACUGGAAUUUAAAAGAAGACUAGCAGACAAAAAAUUUAACUGAGGAAGACAAAAACCCCAAGAAGAAGAAGACUGGCUAGCAUUUGGCAAACUUCAGUUGAUUGUCCAGGAUCAGGUGGUCAGGAGUUGGCUCCAUCUUCAAGAAGAAUCACUUUUUCCAGCCAAGUCCCACUUCAAAAGAAGAUAUUGCUGCUGAGCAGCACAGCACCAUUUGCUUUUCCAUGUGAGAAGGACCAUCAGGUCCAUCAGACACAUUCCCAAAGUGACAGCAAGGCAUUCACAGCCACUGACAGGGAGUGGGAAGCAUUCACCAGUCCCAGGCUGGAAUACAGCUCUA